rnacentral:lncRNA from 1 species
UGACAGACAUCUAUUACUAGCCUCUCAGACUGCGCCCAGGUCUCGCGUUCAGCGUCCAUGAUACCGAAGAACACAAGGUUAUUUCGGCGUGAUCUGUCCUCAGAAUCAUCUAUCCUUGUUUCAAGGUUUACGAUGCGGUUUGUGAUUUGUUCGGUGGUUGUGCGAAGGCUGCCGAUAUCUGUGUUAAGUUGCUUUAUCGAAGAACAGUCGCUUUCAAUCUUUCACAAGCGUUCUCUUAUUUCAGAAAAUGUGUCUUCGUUUUGUGCCAGCGUGGCGUGAAUUGAUUUUAUUUCGGUAAGCAAAGAUGCCUGACUUGACUGUAUUUGUUGUAAAGCUGACAAAAUUUCAUCAUUAUGCUGAGUAUCGGCAGAACGAGUGUUAGCAGGACCAGGGUUUUCUUCUACGUCGCCAGCGAGAAGCAACAGCUGUAGUAUAACGCGAACACAAUCAUGCACAAUCGCAAGACAACGGCCAGGGCAUGGCAGUACUACUAAUCCCAAAUGACGAGUGCGCGGUGCGAACAGGGAUAAAGUGUUUUUUACCUGCACAAAAAGCAGUCGAGGUCGUUUAGCGCAGGUCAUCGUAGCAGUACCGCCAUGCCCAGUGAAGAUAGCAGCAGGAUCGCCGAGCUUUAUAACCUCGUGAAGUGACGUCACCGCAGACGCAGUUCCGCGUGAUUUUCUGAACGAAGUCGGAUGUGGGCGGGGCAGGUCAGAUGAUUGCCUCGGAGUGCACAAGCACUGGGAAGAAGGUAUCGAAACGCCCCUUGCCAAGGCAGUGCGCUGGUCUUGUGAAGUGUGGCUCUUUGAUCCGUGGAGGACCCGAGCCGAUGGCACCGAGGUUCCGGAGGCAGCACAGGGCGCUUCAUGACGUAGUUCAGC